GGCAGGAAAUGGUUAAAUACGGACUUCUAAUCCGUAGGUCGCAGGUUCGAAUCCUGCCAGGCG
rnacentral:tRNA from 1 species